GACGAACGCUGGCGGCGUGCCUAAUACAUGCAAGUAGAACGCACAGUUUAUACCGUAGCUUGCUACACCAUAGACUGUGAGUUGCGAACGGGUGAGUAACGCGUAGGUAACCUGCCUGGUAGCGGGGGAUAACUAUUGGAAACGAUAGCUAAUACCGCAUAAUAUUAAUUAUUCCAUGAUAAUUAAUUGAAAGGUGCAAUUGCACUACUACCAGAUGGACCUGCGUUGUAUUAGCUAGUAGGUGAGGUAACGGCUCACCUAGGCGACGAUACAUAGCCGACCUGAGAGGGUGAUCGGCCACACUGGGACUGAGACACGGCCCAGACUCCUACGGGAGGCAGCAGUAGGGAAUCUUCGGCAAUGGACGAAAGUCUGACCGAGCAACGCCGCGUGAGUGAAGAAGGUUUUCGGAUCGUAAAGCUCUGUUGUAAGAGAAGAACGGGUGUGAGAGUGGAAAGUUCACACUGUGACGGUAUCUUACCAGAAAGGGACGGCUAACUACGUG
rnacentral:rRNA from 1 species